GAAAGCGUUUUCGCAUUUUCUCUUGUUCGAUUAUUGAUGCUGUGCAUCCCCAAGGAGAGCUUAGUGGUCCACUGUUUGAUCCAGGUUCUCUGGCCUUUGGUUACUGACCCUUCUGUUCAGAUCCCCAUCAUCGAGGACGAUGAUGACUAGGCGUGGAAGAGUUGUAAUGGUUGUGUUGAUUAUAUUUCUUGUUCUUCUAUAAAGACCCCUUUCUCUGGUUGUUUAUUCACUACAAACCUUGCAUUUACUUUGUUAUUAAUUCAUGUGACUUGAGGGAAGUCUACUCAGUGUGACUCGAGACAAGGCUAUACAAAGUAUUGAUUUUUCUAGUGGAGCCAAAAAUAGUAUUGAUUUAUGGAGCUGUGAUUUUGAACUUGUAUUUUGUGAAUAUUUCUUAGUCAAGGAAAAUGAACAUUAUGUUUAGAUUUUAAAGAAGAAUUAUGCUUAUCUUGAUUAGAAAUGUGUAUUAUCAAAUUAUUUGUCAUCAUAGGUUUGGCUUUAGAUCACUUUUGUGGAUUGUUCACUUGACGUGAACUGCACGUUGUUAAUUCACAGCUCCCAAACCAUGCGGUCGCGGCAAGGCCUAGGCUAGGCAGUGCCUGCCCGAUCUUUACAGGUGGCCCCACCUGGGCCGAUUCAGUUUGAAUAAACAAUCAGAGCAAGGGA